rnacentral:rRNA from 1 species
UAGGGAAUCUUCCACAAUGGGCGAAAGCCUGAUGGAGCAACGCCGCGUGUGUGAUGAAGGGUUUCGGCUCGUAAAACACUGUUGUAAGUGAAGAAUGACAUUGAGAGUAACUGUUCAAUGUGUGACGGUAUCUUACCAGAAAGGAACGGCUAAAUACGUGCCAC